rnacentral:rRNA from 1 species
AUUGAACGCUGGCGGCAUGCCUUACACAUGCAAGUCGAACGGCAGCGCGGGGCAACCUGGCGGCGAGUGGCGAACGGGUGAGUAACAUAUCGGAACAUACCCUAGAGUGGGGGAUAACGUAGCGAAAGUUACGCUAAUACCGCAUACGCACUAAGGUGGAAAGUGGGGGAUUCGCAAGAACCUCAUGCUCAUGGAGUGGCCGAUAUCUGAUUAGCUAGUUGGUGAGGUAAAGGCUCACCAAGGCGACGAUCAGUAGCUGGUUUGAGAGAACGACAGCCACACUGGAACUGAGACACGGUCCAGACUCCUACGGAGGCAGCAGUGGGAAUUUUGGACAAUGGGGGCAACCCUGAUCCAGCAAUGCCGCGUGAGUGAAGAAGGCC